AUGACUCAGCUGUAUGAGAUCGGAGAAAAAUGGGCUAAGCCAUACUUCAAGGGUGUUUUCUGCGCGAAGAUGACCAGCACCCAGCGGAGCGAGAGUGCGAACCACAUGCUGAAGAAUUAUGUGCCGCCUGGCUCCCCGAUGCACAAAUUUGUGAGGCAGUACAUGAGGUUGCAAUUUGAUAGGGCAUCUGACGAGAGGUGCGAAGAGAAGUGA
rnacentral:rRNA from 1 species